AACAAAUUCUUGAGCUGCAAA
rnacentral:snRNA from 1 species